UACAGAGGGUGCGAGCGUUGUUCGGAAUUAUUGGGCGUAAAGGGCGCGUAGGCGGUGCGGUAAGUCACCUGUGAAAUCUCCUGGCUCAACUGGGAGCUUGCAGGCGAAACUGCCGUGCUGGAGUGUGGGAGAGGUGCGUGGAAUUCCUGGUGUAGCGGUGAAAUGCGCAGAUAUCGGGAGGAACACCGGUGGCGAAGGCGGUUCUCUGGGCCUUACCUGACGCGGAGGCGCGAAAGCUAGGGGAGCAAACGGG
rnacentral:rRNA from 1 species